rnacentral:piRNA from 1 species
GAGACAAUGUGGCAGAGUGGUUCCAGG